rnacentral:tRNA from 1 species
AAUGAAGUGCCUGAAAAAAGGAUUACUGUGAUAGAGUAAAUAAUGUGAUUAAAUUACCUUCAUUG